rnacentral:lncRNA from 1 species
GCUCAGCCUCCCAGAGUGCUAUGAUUACAGGUGUGAGCCACUGUGCCUGGCCAUAUAUUUAUUUAUUAUUAUUUUUUGAGACAGAGUCUCCCUCUAUUGCCUAGGACGGAGUGCAGUGGCAUAGUCUCGGCUCACUGCAACCUCUGCCUCCUGGAUUCAAGCGAUUCUCCUGCCUCAGCCUCUCAAGUAGCUGGGACAACAGGCUCAUGCCACCAUGCCCGGCUAAUUUUUUUAUAUUUUCAGUAGAAACAGCGUUUCACCAUAUUGGCCCGGCUGGUCUUGAACUCCUGACCUCAUGAUCUGCCCACCUCGGCCUCCCAAAGUGCUGGGAUUACAGGCAUGAGCUGCUGCACCCGGCCUGUAUUUUAUUUUAAAACAGAGAUGGGGUCUUGCUAUGUUGCCCAGGCUGGUCUUAAAUUCUUGGCCUGAAGUGAUCCUCCCUACUAGGCCUCCCAAAGUGUUGGGUCCUUGGGGUUCCAAAUUUUAGAUACUAAGAUAAGGACAAAGCAAGCAGUGUUCUCCUUGGCCAGCAAUGGGAGACUGACUGGAAAUCGAAGAGCUGGAAUCAGAGCGCUUAAUUUUUUUUUUUUUUUGUGGGGGGUACAGACAGAAUCAUACUAUGUUGCCCAGGCUGGUCUCGAACUCCUGGGCUCCAGUGAUCCUCCCGUGUUGGCCUCCCAAAGUGCUAGGGCUACAGAUGUAAUCCACCAUGCCCAGUCCAUUUCAACCCUUAAAUGCUACACUGGUAGACCAUUUCCCUAGAUUCCAGGCAGCAUGCUCAAGAGUGAGAUGAGUCCAUCCCAAACACAGGACGAGUGAACCAGGAUGAGUAUGCUGCCCUGCAAAGGUUCUCUGUAAACUUCAGAGCACCACACAGACAUGACUCACUUGAGUAAUCCAUCUAGCCUGAGCUAGAGCUCAGAUGUCAGAGAUCCUCUGGGACUCUUUGAAAUGCUAUCCAAAAAGAGAUCUCAAAAUAGAACUCCAAAUAAUUAUCUCCCAACAGACAAGUCAAAGGCUAAUAUGAUCACUGAACCCAAUCAAAUUCAGGAUAUUACAAACCUACAGCCAGAAGUGUACUCAAAAUAUAAUUAUUUCCCUUACCUCAUCUUCGAUUUUAUCUGCAUCGGUUGUUGGUCGAUACGCAUCCUUGUUGGGAUGAAGAGCAGCCACAAAUUCAUAAUAAUCAAUGUAACCAUCCCCAUCUCGGUCGAAAAUGUCAGCCACAGCAGUCAUUUCUAACUUGGUGGUGGGGAACUCUGGAGAAAAGGAAUCAUAUUUUGAAACAUUAAGAGGGGUAUUUGUUUGGUUGGCGGUUAUAGAAAUUUUUUUUUUUUUUUUUUUUUUUUNNNNNNNNNNNNNNNNNNNNNNNNNNNNNNNNNNAGUGCAGUGGUGCAAUCUCGGCUCACUGCAACUUCCGUCUCCCUGGUUCAAGUGAUUCUCCUGCCUCAGCUUCCAGAGUAGCUGGGAAUACAAGCGCCUGUCAUCAGGCCCGGCUAAUUUUUUUUGUAUUUUUAGUAGAGACAAGGUUUUGCCAUGUUGGCCAGGCUGGUCUUGAACUCCUGGCCUCAAGUGAUCCACCCAUCUUGGCCUCCCAAAGUGCUGGGAUUACAGGCGUGAGCCACCACGCCUGGCCAGAAAUACUUCUUAAGAGCAAAAAAAUUUAUGUCUUGAUUUUUCCUGAAAAGUAAUACAUAUCCACUUAUAGACUCCCCUACCCCAAAUGCAACGAAAAAAGGUAAUAUUCCCCAUUUCAAAUAUACCAAAAGGCAUAAACAUAAUAUUACAACCACCCACAGUCCUACCACUCAACUCAAGAAUAUACUCAUCCACCCCACAAUUAUUGGAUAUUUAGAUUAUUUCAGAAUAGUGACAGUUUGGAAUAGCAUAAAGUUUUCCUAUGUUUAGAUUAUUGUCUUAGAUUCUAAACAAAUUGCUAUACAAAGGGAAGUGUGACUAUUUAUAGUAGUCACAGUGAUUUACUAAAACAUAGACCAAAUCAUAUUGUUUCUCAGCUGAAAACCUCUGGUUAACCACUGUCUUUUUUUUUUUUUUUUUUGAGACAGAGUCUCACUCUGUUGCCCAG